rnacentral:misc_RNA from 1 species
AGCAGCCGCGGUAAUUCCAGCUCCAAUAGCGUAUAUUAAAGUUGUUGCAGUUAAAAAGCUCGUAGUUGAAUUUCGGGAUCAGUACGCCGGUCGUGCCUUCGGUAUGCACUGGUGUCACUGGUUUCUCCCUUCUGAAGAACCAUCAUGCCAUUAAGUUGGUGUGGCGGGAAAUCAGGACUGUUACUUUGAAAAAAUUAGAGUGUUUAAAGCAGGCUCGCGCUUGAAUACAUUAGCAUGGAAUAAUGAAAUAGGACGUUUGACCCUAUUUUGUUGGUUUCUAGGAUCGACGUAAUGAUUAAUAGAGAUAGUUGGGGGCAUUAGUAUUCAAUUGUCAGAGGUGAAAUUCUUGGAUUUAUUGAAGACUAACUACUGCGAAAGCAUUUUGCCAAGGAUGUUUUCAUUAAUCAAGAACGAAAGUUAGGGGAUCGAAGACGAUCAGAUACCGUCGUAGUCUUAACCAUAAACUAUGCCGACUAGGGAUCGGAUGAUGUUAAUUUUUUAAUGACUCAUUCGGCGCCUU